UACGUAGGGUGCAAGCGUUAAUCGGAAUUACUGGGCGUAAAGCGUGCGCAGGCGGUUGUGCAAGACAGAUGUGAAAUCCCCGGGCUUAACCUGGGAACUGCAUUUGUGACUGCACGGCUAGAGUGUGUCAGAGGGGGGUAGAAUUCCACGUGUAGCAGUGAAAUGCGUAGAUAUGUGGAGGAAUACCGAUGGCGAAGGCGGCCUCCUGGAUCGAUACUGACGCUGAGGCGCGAAAGCGUGGGGAGCAAACAGG
rnacentral:rRNA from 1 species